rnacentral:tRNA from 1 species
CGGCAGGUAGCUCAGUGGCCAGAGCGUUUAUUUUGCACAGUUAUUAUGUUUAUGGGUCUAGAACCUUAAAGAUAAUAGCAGGGUUUAUCCGGAUGGACCUGUGUGAAAACUAAUAAAAGGGCGGUAGUUCGACUCUAUCCCUGCCGA